rnacentral:rRNA from 1 species
UACGGGGGGGGCAAGCGUUGUUCGGAAUUACUGGGCGUAAAGGGCUCGUAGGUGGCCAACUAAGUCAGACGUGAAAUCCCUCAGCUUAACUGGGGAACUGCGUCUGAUACUGGAUGGCUUGAGUUUGGGAGAGGGAUGCGGAAUUCCAGGUGUAGCGGUGAAAUGCGUAGAUAUCUGGAGGAAUACCGGUGGCGAAGGCGGCAUCCUGGACCGAGAUUGACGCUGAUGAGCGAAAGCUAGGGGAGCAAACGGG